UACGUAGGGGGCAAGCGUUGUCCGGAAUCAUUGGGCGUAAAGAGCGUGUAGGCGGCUCGAUAAGUCUGCUGUGAAAGCCCAGGGCUCAACCCUGGAAGGCCGGUGGAAACUGUCGGGCUAGAGUCCGGAAGAGGCGAGUGGAAUUCCCGGUGUAGCGGUGAAAUGCGCAGAUAUCGGGAGGAACGCCAAUGGCGAAGGCAGCUCGCUGGGACGGUACUGACGCUGAGACGCGAAAGCGUGGGGAGCAAACAGG
rnacentral:rRNA from 1 species